AACUCUACUAAAUCGCAACAAUGCAAAG
rnacentral:piRNA from 1 species